AGUGAACGCUGGCGGUAGGCCUAACACAUGCAAGUCGAACGGCAGCACAGUAAGAGCUUGCUCUUACGGGUGGCGAGUGGCGGACGGGUGAGGAAUACAUCGGACUCUACUUUUUCGUGGGGGAUAACGUAGGGAAACUUACGCUAAUACCGCAUACGACCUACGGGUGAAAGCAGGGGAUCUUCGGACCUUGCGCGAUUGAAUGAGCCGAUGUCGGAUUAGCUAGUUGGCGGGGUAAAGGCCCACCAAGGCGACGAUCCGUAGCUGGUCUGAGAGGAUGAUCAGCGACACUGGAACGGGAACACGGUCCAGACUCCUAAGGGAGGCAGCAGUGUGGAAUAUUAGACAAUGGGCGCAAGCCUGAUCCAGCCAUACCGCGUGGGUGAAGAAGGCCUUCGGGUUGUAAAGCCCUUUUGUUGGGAAAGAAAAGCAGCAGGUUAAGACCCCGCUGUUCUGACGGUACCCAAAGAAUAAGCACCGGCUAACUUCGUG
rnacentral:rRNA from 1 species